rnacentral:rRNA from 1 species
CUACGGGUGGCACCAGUGGGGAAUAUUGCACAAUGGGCGCAAGCCUGAUGCAGCCACGCCGCGUGUAUGAAGAAGGCCUUCGGGUUGUAAAGUACUUUCAGCGGGGAGGAAGGGAGUAAAGUUAAUACCUUUGCUCAUUGACGUUACCCGCAGAAGAAGCACCGGCUAACUCCGUGCCAGCAGCCGCGGUAAUACGGAGGGUGCAAGCGUUAAUCGGAAUUACUGGGCGUAAAGCGCACGCAGGCGGUUUGUUAAGUCAGAUGUGAAAUCCCCGGGCUCAACCUGGGAACUGCAUCUGAUACUGGCAAGCUUGAGUCUCGUAGAGGGGGGUAGAAUGCCAGGUGUAGCGGUGAAAUGCGUAGAGAUCUGGAGGAAUACCGGUGGCGAAGGCGGCCCCCUGGACGAAGACUGACGCUCAGGUGCGAAAGCGUGGGGAGCAAACAGGAUUAGAUACCCUAGUAGUC